AGCGAACGCUGGCGGCAGGCUUAACACAUGCAAGUCGAGCGGGCGUAGCAAUACGUCGGCGGCAGACGGGUGAGUAACGCGUGGGAACAUACCUUUUUGGUUCGGAACAACACAGGGAAACUUGUGCUAAUACCGGAUAAGCCCUUACGGGGAAAGAUUUAUCGCCGAAAGAUUGGCCCGCGUCUGAUUAGCUAGUUGGUGAGGUAACGGCUCACCAAGGCGACGAUCAGUAGCUGGUCNGAGAGGAUGAUCAGCCACAUUGGGACUGAGACACGGCCCAAACUCC
rnacentral:rRNA from 1 species